rnacentral:rRNA from 1 species
GCGAUAGGUAUAAGAGCUUGCUCUUGAAGUUAGCGGCGGACGGGUGAGUAACACGUGGGUAACCUGCCCUAAGACUGGGUAACUCCGGGAAACCGGGGCUAAUACCGGUAACAUUUUGAACUCGCAUGGUUCGAAAUUGAAAGGCGGCUUCGGCUGUCACUUAUGGAUGGACCCGCGUCGCAUUAGCUAGUUGGUGAGGUAACGGCUCACCAAGGCAACGAUGCGUAGCCGACCUGAGAGGGUGAUCGGCCACACUGGGACUGAGACACGGCCCAGACUCCUACGGGAGGCAGCAGUAGGGAAUCUUCCGCAAUGGACGAAAGUCUGACGGAGCAACGCCGCGUGAGUGAUGAAGGCUUUCGGGUCGUAAAACUCUGUUGUUAGGGAAGAACAAGUGCUAGUUGAAUAAGCUGGCACCUUGACGGUACCUAACCAGAAAGCCACGGCUAACUACGUGCCAGCAGCCGCGUUUAAUA